UAUGGAAUCUUCCGCAAUGGGCGAAAGCCUGACGGAGCAACGCCGCGUUAGUGAUGAAGGUCUUCGGAUCGUAAAACUCUGUUAUUAGGGAAGAACAAAUGUGUAAGUAACUAUGCACGUCUUGACGGUACCUAAUCAGAAAGCCACGGCUAACUACGUGCCAGCAGCCGCGGUAAUACGUAGGUGGCAAGCGUUCUCCGGAAUUAUUGGGCGUAAAGCGCGCGUAGGCGGUUUUUUAAGUCUGAUGUGAAAGCCCACGGCUCAACCGUGGAGGGUCAUUGGAAACUGGAAAACUUGAGUGCAGAAGAGGAAAGGGGAAUUCCAUGUGUAGCGGUGAAAUGCGCAGAGAUAUGGGGGAACACGAGUGGAGAAGGCGACUUUCUGGUCUGUAACUGACGCUGAUGUGCGAAAGCGUGGGGAUCAAACAGG
rnacentral:rRNA from 1 species